rnacentral:tRNA from 1 species
UGUUUAGUGUUGAAGGUCAACAAGUUAAUUGCAAAUUAACUAAAGUGAGUUCGAUUCUCAUCUAAGCAU